rnacentral:rRNA from 1 species
UCAGGCCUAACACAUGCAAGUCGAACGAAGUAGCAAUACUUAGUGGCAGACGGGUGAGUAACAUGUAGGUAUCUGCCCUUUGGCCUGGAAUAACACGAGGAAACUUGUGCUAAUACCGGAUAAGUCUUUACGGAGAAAGCUUUAUGCACCAUUGGAUGAACCUGCACUUGAUUAGUUUGUUGGUGGGGUAAUGGCCUACCAAGACUGUGAUCAAUAGCUGAUUUGAGAGGAUGAUCAGCCACAUUGGGACUGAGACACGGCCCAAACUCCUACGGGAGGCAGCAGUGGGGAAUCUUGCACAAUGGAGGAAACUCUGAUGCAGCGAUGCCGCGUGAGUGAAGAAGGCCCUUUGGGUUGUAAAGCUCUUUCGUCGGGGAAGAAAAUGACUGUACCCGAAUAAGAAGGUCCGGCUAACUUUCGUGCCAGCAGCCGCGGUAAUACGAAGGGACCUAGCGUAGUUCGGAAUUACUGGGCUUAAAGAGUUCGUAGGUGGUUGAAAAAGUUGGUGGUGAAAUCCCAGAGCUUAACUCUGGAACUGCCAUCAAAACUUUUCAGCUAGAGUAUGAUAGAGGAAAGCAGAAUUUCUAGUGUAGAGGUGAAAUUCGUAGAUAUUAGAAAGAAUACCAAUUGCGAAGGCAGCUUUCUGGAUCAUUACUGACACUGAGGAACGAAAGCAUGGGUAGCGAAGAGGAUUAGAUAC